ACCAUACCAUGCUGACAGCACCGGUUCUCGUCUGAUCAUCGCAGUUAAGUAACAUCCGGCCCUAUCAGUACUUGGGAGGGUGACCCCUGGGAACACGGCGUGCUGUUG